rnacentral:lncRNA from 1 species
CGGGGACAUUUCAUUGGACAUCUUAGAUCGUUUCGGAUUUUCUAACAGCAACUCAAACAAAAGUACAUAUCAUAUCAUUUUAAAGGAAAUUAAAUGUAUUUUCCAUUCAUAUCAGUAAACAGGUGUUAAAAAAUUGAGAUAUAGUAGAAUUUCGUUUGAUAAAAAGCCUCUGAAUUAUUCUUUGUGUUAUUUUGUCCAUCGGGACAUUUUAUUGGACACGGGAAAAAUGACGAUGUUUUUAAAAUAAGACCGCAGUUACUUAAUGAUGACUUCAGAUAGCUUCUUCGGGACAUGUAUAAUUUUUCUGAUAUUAUUAAAAUCCAUUUUCGUCCAUAAUAUCUUAUGAAAGUGAAGACAGAAAAAAAAAUUACGGGUUGAGCAGCUAAUUGGGACAUUUUUUCUCUUUUUUAUUUAAACUCUUUUGACGACCUUCCUUCUCUUAAAAUCAAAAACGUCUGUUACUUCAUUUUAGGUUAAAUGUAUACAAAACAAUUGCAAAAUUUUUAACAAUUCUACUUACUAAUGAAUCCGCACUGGGAUUUUAAAGACUCACAUAAAACAAAAUUGUAACAGCGGGACACCCUUGAAAUGACG